rnacentral:lncRNA from 1 species
CCACGUGCACGCGGCCGCCGCCGAGCCACCCAACGUGCAUGUUUGAUCUUAGUUAAUGGCUUCAAUCAAGAAUAAAGAAUAUCCUUAGUCUCGAUUGAAGUCAUUGACAUGCAGUAAAGGACUAGCUAGCUCAUCUGUUUGGUUUGCAUUACUUCAAACUUCUUAUAGUGCUUCCCAUUUGUACGCCAGUCCAGCCUUAACAUCGUGUUGCUGGUCCAUUCUGUUAUUCCCUAUCAUGAGUUGUCCAUGUCCGGAGGGCAAAUAGUUCAGAGAAGCAGCUAUGCUAUGCUUGCUACCAAACUCUGACGGGAAAUCAUAACCUUGUCAUACUUUUGCAUUUCUUGCCCCUCUACAUACUGUGAUCAUGUCAACGAUACAUUUUUAUGCCAAUGAUAUUUCAGGAUUUCUGUCGAAGGCCGGUGUCAAAAGUCCAGUCAGCUUCACCCCAUGCAUGUGGUGGGACAUCAGGGAAGAGGCGCAGAUGGUCCUGGGCGGUGGACGAGGAGGUGGUGCGGGUGUAAGGACUUGAAGAAAACGAAGGCGGUGGAGCCGGUGACAAUCCCGAGUGUAUCACAAAACAGUAACCUUUUAUAACUGAAACCGAUUUAAAACAUACCGUAUGUGAACAAUCCAAAGCGUAUCAGUUAACAAUCCAAAGUGUAUGAAAAACAUAAGACAAGAAAAAAUAUAUAUUUUCAUUAAUGGAACAAUCAAGUACAUUUAUAUUCCAUUACAAGAAAUAAAUAUGAAUGAUCCAAAUAUUGCAUACCUGAGAAACACUAAACUUCAUCACAAAUAAAUGAUUAGUUCUACUGCUAGCACACUUGUAGAUAGUUAUCUUUUUAUAAGAAAUUUAUUGCACAAUUACUUCAUCAAAAACAAAUGAUGGCCCCUCAGUCCAAUCUGAAACCACAAAUAUAUGACAUUGUCAGUAGUGAAUUUGGAAAUGUUCACCCGAUAUGAAAUUGUCUAACACGAAACGCCAAAUUGGUGCAAACAAAGAGCCCAUUACUUUGCUUAACUAGGAACACCGUAUUUGGAGGAUAAUAAUGAUCCUACUAACGCCUCGAGAUUUGCAUUGAUUUGAGACAUUUGAAGAUGAGACAUUGGAGGGAACCAAAUCUUGUGCUUUGCGUGCAGCUGGAGACUUGGUUUCCACCAACGCUCACCUUCAGCUUCCAAAUUCUUCAGACAGGUCUCAUCUUGCUGCACUGCCACCUACACAUCUGAUCAACCGAACAUGAGAAAUUGGUGGAAACCAAGUCUCGUCUUUUCUUUCUCAACCAGAAAUUGCCCAAGUUUCAGCUCGGAGUUCCCUCCCUGGCCAAGCUAAGUACCUUACUCUAAUCCAUGUAGGAGUAUUCCGCUUGAUUUUGCAGUGGCGGCUACCGAUAGUGGCAAUGAAGAUAAGAUGUUGGAGAAAACCGAGACGGAGCUGAAGACAACAGGGCAGAGUUCAGUUUUCUACCACCCUUGCCUUCAGAGCUUAGCUAAUAGAUGUUUGGGUUGCCAAUUUGCCAUGCUCCCAGCUUUGAUGGUGCUGCCCUUU